rnacentral:rRNA from 1 species
AUUGAACGCUGGCGGCAUGCCUUACACAUGCAAGUCGAACGGUAACGGGCCUUCGGGUGCCGACGAGUGGCGAACGGGUGAGUAAUGCAUCGGAACGUACCUUUCAGUGGGGGAUAACGUAGCGAAAGUUACGCUAAUACCGCAUAUUCUGUGAGCAGGAAAGCAGGGGAUCGCAAGACCUUGCGCUGAUUGAGCGGCCGAUGUCAGAUUAGCUAGUUGGUGAGGUAAAGGCUCACCAAGGCGACGAUCUGUAGCGGGUCUGAGAGGAUGAUCCGCCACACUGGAACUGAGACACGGUCCAGACUCCUACGGGAGGCAGCAGUGGGGAAUUUUGGACAAUGGGGGCAACCCUGAUCCAGCCAUGCCGCGUGAGUGAAGAAGGCCUUCGGGUUGUAAAGCUCUUUCGGCCGGGAAGAAAUCGCAUGGGUUAAUACCCUGUGCGGAUGACGGUACCGGCAUAAGAAGCACCGGCUAACUACGUGCCAGCAGCCGCGGUAAUACGUAGGGUGCGAGCGUUAAUCGGAAUUACUGGGCGUAAAGCGUGCGCAGGCGGUUUUGUAAGACAGGCGUGAAAUCCCCGGGCUCAACCUGGGAACUGCGCUUGUGACUGCAAGGCUAGAGUACGGCAGAGGGGGGUGGAAUUCCACGUGUAGCAGUGAAAUGCGUAGAGAUGUGGAGGAACACCAAUGGCGAAGGCAGCCCCCUGGGUCGAUACUGACGCUCAUGCACGAAAGCGUGGGUAGCAAACAGGAUUAGAUACCCUGGUAGUCCACGCCCUAAACGAUGUCAACUAGGUGUUGGGUGGGUAAAACCAUUUAGUACCGUAGCUAACGCGUGAAGUUGACCGCCUGGGGAGUACGGCCGCAAGGUUA